AUGUUUCCGUUCAAGUUUAAGAGGAAGCAAUUUCCUAUAAGGCUUAGCUUUGCUAUGACCAUUAACAAGGAUCAAGGGCAGACAAUCCUGAUUGUUGGUGUCUACCUACCCAAUCCCGUGUUCUCUCAUGGUCAACUCUAUGUUGCUUUGUCUCGAGCCACCGCAAAGAGAAACAUAAAGAUACUCAUUCAGAAGGAGAAGCCGAAGGAGAAGUCCAACAAGCAAAAGGACAAUCCAAAGAAGCGAAAAAGACCGACCAUGUCAUUACUAACCUCGAUGAAGAACAUCUUCUACAAGGAAGUCCUUACAGGCUGA
rnacentral:rRNA from 1 species